GCAGUGGAAACAUUGUGUUAUUCCAUCCUCAGAAGAAAAGAGACAGUAUUAUACUUCGUCUCUUGCUAGUACAGACAAAACAUGGUCUUAUGAUACAGGAUAUUAUGAAGAAACAGAACGAACAAGAGACACAGAGUGACUUCUUGAAUAUGAAAAAUAUUAUUACAAUACUUCCAUUAAUGGCAUGAUUAGAAGUGAGAAAAAUAUACAUAAACAUCUCUACAUUAGGACAAAGUAGUAAUGC
rnacentral:lncRNA from 1 species